GAGUAAUAUCCAGAAUUUAUAAAGAACUUUAACAAAUCAGCCGGAGAAAACAAUCUCAAUUAAAAAGUAGACAAAAGGGGCCGCCCUGCCCCCGCUUCCUUUCACGCCGUCGCUGCCCGUGGGUGAUUGUGGCCACUGUGCCUGGAGGGAGGCGGUGGUGGCUGCGGCGGCCAGUAAUGCCUAGGAAACUCCUCUGGGGGGACAUUAUGGAGCUGGAAGCACCCUUGGAGGAGUCGGAGAGCCAGAGGAAGGAGAGGCAAAAGAGCUUUAUGGAUAUCGGAAUUUCGGAUAAGGGAUUAUAGACCUGUACUUCCCUUAUAGGGUUGUUAUGAAGAUUUAAACAAGAUAAGAUGAAAACACAUUACACAAUGCUGAGUGAUAGAAGGAAGUCAAGGCACCAUUAUGACUCAGAUGAGAAAUCAGAAACAAGAGAAAAUGGUGUUGUGAAGGACUUGGAUGCUCCCAAGCCCAAAAAAGCUAAAAUGAAAGAGAAGCUAAAUGGAGACACUGAAGGAUUUAAUAGACUUUCAGAUGAAUUCUCUAAAUCUCAUAAGUCAAGAAGAAAAGAUCUACCAAAUGGAGAUAUUGAUGAAUAUGAAAAAAAAAUCAAAACAAGUAUCAUCCUUAGAUAGUUCUACUCAUAAAUCAAAUGACAGUAAACUGGAGGAGACACUAACACGUGAACAGAAAGAAGGAGCCUUCUCAAAUUUUCCUAUUUCUGAAGAAACUAUAAAGCUUCUGAAAGGUUGAGGGGUAACAUAUCUCUUUCCUAUUCAAGUUAAGACCUUUGGUCCUGUCUAUGAAGGAAAAGAUUUAAUAGCUCAAGCACGGACAGGAACAGGAAAGACAUUCUCUUUUGCCAUAUCCUUGAUUGAAAGACUCCAAAGAAAUCAAGAAACAAUUAAAAAAAGCCGCUCACCAAAGGUACUUGUUUUGGCUCCAACAAGGGAACUGGCAAACCAAGUAGCCAAAGACUUCAAAGAUAUAACUAGGAAGCUCAGUGUGGCAUGUUUUUAUGGUGGAACAUCAUAUCAAAGCCAAAUUAAUCAUAUUCGAAAUGGUAUUGACAUCUUGGUUGGGACCCCUGGUCGUAUCAAAGACCAUUUGCAGAGCGGCUGAUUGGAUCUUUCUAAACUGUGCCAUGUUGUGCUUGAUGAAGUGGAUCAGAUGUUAGAUUUAGGUUUUGCUGAGCAAGUUGAAGAUAUUAUUCAUGAAUCCUACAAAACUGAUUCUGAAGACAAUCCUCAGACUUUACUUUUUUCUGCAACUUGCCCACAGUGAGUAUACAAAGUUGCAAAAAAAUACAUGAAAUCCAGAUAUGAACAGGUUGACCUUGUUGGAAAAAUGACUCAAAAGGCUGCAACUACUGUGGAACAUUUGGCCAUCCAGUGUCAUUGGUCUCAGAGGCCCUCAGUUAUUGGAGAUGUCCUUCAAGUCUACAGUGGUUCUGAAGGGAGGGCUAUUAUUUUCUGUGAGACCAAGAAGAAUGUAACAGAAAUGGCCAUGAAUCCACACAUAAAACAGAAUGCCCAGUGUUUACAUGGAGACAUCGCACAAUCACAAAGAGAAAUUACGCUGAAAGGCUUCAGAGAAGGUAGUUUUAAAGUUUUGGUGGCAACCAAUGUGGCUGCCCGUGGUUUGGACAUUCCUGAGGUUGACCUGGUGAUUCAAAGUUCUCCUCCUCAGGAUGUUGAGUCCUAUAUCCACCGCUCUGGACGCACAGGUAGAGCUGGCUGGACAGGGAUUUGUAUAUGUUUUUAUCAACCAAGAGAAAGAGGUCAACUAAGAUAUGUGGAACAAAAAGCAGGAAUUACUUUUAAACGUGUAGGUGUUCCUUCUACAAUGGAUUUAGUUAAGUCUAAAAGCAUGGAUGCCAUCAGGUCUCUGGCUUCAGUUUCUUUUGCUGCUGUUGAUUUUUUCCGACCAUCAGCUCAGAGACUGAUAGAAGAGAAGGGGGCAGUGGAUGCAUUGGCUGCAGCAUUAGCCCACAUUUCUGGUGCAUCAAACUUUGAACCACGAUCUUUAAUCACCUCUGAUAAGGGGUUUGUGACCAUGACUAGGAAAGCCUAGAGGAAAUACAGGAUGUCAGCUGUGCUUGGAAAGAACUUAACAGAAAGCUGAGUAGUAAUGCUGUGUCCCAGAUUACCAGAAUGUGCCUCCUAAAAGGAAAUAUGGGUGUUUGCUUUGAUGUUCCCACAGCUGAGUCAGAAAGGUUACAGGCCGAGUGGCAUGAUUCAGACUGGAUACUCUCAGUGCCAGCCAAACUACCUGAAAUUGAAGAAUAUUAUGAUGGAAACACAUCUUCUAAUUCCAGACAGAGGAGUGGCUGGUCAAGUGGCUGGUCAGGCAGGUCAGGUCGAUCAGGUGGUUGAUCUGGUGGCCGGUCUGGUAGACAGAGUCGACAGGGGAGUCGCUCAGGAAGUCGACAAGAUGGUAGAAGACGAAGUGGGAACAGAAAUCGAUCAAGAAGUGGGGGCCACAAACGGAGUUUUGAUUGAGUAUUGGAUAGUUAAUCUACCAGUGUGAGCUUGCCUAUUUCUGCCUAAUCAUGUACAUUAUCCACCAAAAAUUAAGUCAUCAUAGUUGAGGUAUGUGUAUGCUAUUUGCAAAGAAGUUGGUUGUAUUUUUUUAAAAAGUAUUUCACAAGAAUGGUUGUAAACAAAUCUACUUAUCCAGUUAUACCUUUGAAUAAAAAAACCUCCUUUUAAAAAAAAAAAGUAGACAAAAGAAAUGAACAGAUGUUUUUUCAAAAGACGCUAUGCAAAUGGCCAAUGAUGAAAAAAUGCUAAACAUCAUUAUUCAUCAGGGAAAUGCAAAAUAAAACCACAAUCAGACACCAUCUUACCCCUGUCAGAAUGGCCAUUAUUAGUAAGACAAAAAACAAUAGAUGUUGGUACAGAUACAGUGAAAAGGCAAUGCUUAUACAUUGUUGAUUGGAAUGUAAAUUAGUACAACCACUACAGAAAAUAGUAUGGAGAUCCCUCAAAGAAU